rnacentral:rRNA from 1 species
AGCGAACGCUGGCGGCAGGCCUAACACAUGCAAGUCGAACGAACUCUUCGGAGUUAGUGGCGGACGGGUGAGUAACACGUGGGAACGUGCCUUUUGGUUCGGAAUAACUCAGGGAAACUUGUGCUAAUACCGAAUGUGCCCUUCGGGGGAAAGAUUUAUCGCCAUUAGAGCGGCCCGCGUCGGAUUCGCUAGUUGGGGAGGUAACGGCUCACCAAGGCGACGAUCAGUAGCUGGUCUGAGAGGAUGACCAGCCACACUGGGACUGAGACACGGCCCAGACUCCUACGGGAGGCAGCAGUGGGUAAUCUUGCGCAAUGGGGGAAAGCCUGACGCAGCCAUGCCGCGUGAAUGAUGUAGGUCUUAGGAUUGUAAAAUUCUUUCAACGGGGAAGAUAAUGACGGUACCCGGAGAAGAAGCCCCGGCUAACUUCGUG